rnacentral:lncRNA from 1 species
GUUUCAUAGCAAGUUUUACAGAACCUGGCAUUUAAGAACUUGGAUUUUAAAGCAGUCAACACUGAUAUUUGACUCUAAAGUGACGGUAUUUGAAAUAGAGAGGAAAAAGGGAGACUGGAAAGAUGAACAGAAGUGAUGCAGUGAUAGAUCAUAAAAAAAUACCACUACAUUAUAGCUGACUCAGAUAACAACUGCAUCCCACCUUUUAAUUACAUCCUUACGAGGGAAUGGAUGACUCAAGAUCAAAAUUCUCUGCAAGACUGAGGUAUAAACAGGCAUAGGAGAGUCUCAAAACAAUAAAAUCAAAUAACACUUUGGAUGUAGGGAUGUGAUUAAGGGAACACCUUUGACAAACAAGGCUUUAUAUUCGUCUGCUAAACAUAAAUGCUUUGCUG